ACUCCAGGGAGACUGCCGGUGAUAAACCGGAGGAAGGUGGGGACGACGUCAAGUCAUCAUGGCCCUUACGAGUAGGGCUACACACGUGCUACAAUGGCGCAUACAGAGGGCAGCCAACUUGCGAAAGUGAGCGAAUCCCAAAAAGUGCGUCGUAGUCCGGAUUGGAGUCUGCAACUCGACUCCAUGAAGUCGGAAUCGCUAGUAAUCGUGGAUCAGAAUGCCACGGUGAAUACGUUCC
rnacentral:rRNA from 1 species